UGGGCUGUAGCUCAGUGGGAGAGCACUUGCCUAGCAUGUGUGAGGCCCUGGGUUCAAUCCCAGCACCACAU
rnacentral:tRNA from 1 species